rnacentral:rRNA from 1 species
AUUGAACGCUGGCGGCAGGCCUAACACAUGCAAGUCGAGCGAGCGGCGGACGGGUGAGUAAUGUCUGGGAAACUGCCUGAUGGAGGGGGAUAACUACUGGAAACGGUAGCUAAUACCGCAUACCAUCAGAUGUGCCCAGAUGGGCUUAGCUAGUUGGUGGGGUAAAGGCCUAACAAGGCGACGAUCUGUAGCGGGUCUGAGAGGUUGAACCGCUAAACUGGGACGGAGACACGGACCAGGCUCCUACGGGAGGCAGCAGUGGGGAAUAUUGGACAAUGGGGGGAACCCUGAUCCAGCCAGGCCGCGUGUGUGAAGAAGGCCUUAUGGUUGUAAAGCACGUUAAGCGAGGAGGCGUUACUCGCAGAAUAAGCACCGGCUAACUCGGUGCCAGCAGCCGCGGUAAUUC